UACGUAGGGGGCUAGCGUUGUCCGGAAUCAUUUGGCGUAAAGCGCGUGUAGGCGGCCCGGUAAGUCCGCUGUGAAAGUCGGGGGCUCAACCCUCGGAUGCCGGUGGAUACUGUCGGGCUUGAGUACGGAAGAGGCGAGUGGAAUUCCUGGUGUAGCGGUGAAAUGCGCAGAUAUCAGGAGGAACACCUAUUGCGAAGGCAGCUCGCUGGGACGUGACUGACGCUGAGACGCGAAAGCGUGGGGAGCGAACAGG
rnacentral:rRNA from 1 species